CGGGUGUAGCUCAAUGGUAGAGCAGCAGCUUCCCAAGCUGAAUACGAGGGUUCGAUUCCCUUCACCC
rnacentral:tRNA from 7 species